rnacentral:lncRNA from 1 species
CCCAAGGUCAAUGCUGCUGGCCAGUGGCCUGGUGUCUGCAUUAACAGAACAUCUGCAACGCCCUCAGAGCCCAUGGCCACUGUAAGUCACUCAUCAAGUCAUUUGACUUGGGAUGCCCAGCUCUAGUCCAGAGGAGAAAAGGAUAAUAAAUAUCACACUAAACAACAUGGAAUACUUCUCAAGUCACCAGAAAGAUCCUAUAAAGGAUGUGGUGGUCCUGCCUGGAGAAUCCAUGUCGCUGUUAAGAUGCAGUGC